CUUGGUGCCUAUAGCCCCGGGGAAACACCCGUUCCCAUUCCGAACACGGCAGUUAAGCCCGGGCGCGUCGAUGGUAGUAUGGCGAACGCCAUGCGAGAGUAGAUCGGUGCCAAGA
rfam:Candidatus Peribacteria bacterium RIFCSPHIGHO2_02_FTLL_51_15 rifcsphigho2_02_scaffold_10660, whole genome shotgun sequence.